AAGUGCCAAGGCAGGGCCCUCGGCUUGCUAUGUCUACAACAACCGCAUGCAGAAGCACAAGUCCCAUUAGGCAUGCCAACAUUCUAAGGGGACUUGUUGUGCAUGUAUGUGUGCGUAUGUGGGUACGUGCACGCAUGCGUGUGACCUGCCAGUCAUGUCAACAUGCCAAGAAGCCCACCAUAAGGGCAACUGCAGAGUGAGCGUGCGUAGCAUAUCGUGUCAUG
rnacentral:lncRNA from 1 species